UAAGGAAUAUUGCUCAAUGGGAGAAAUCCUGAAGCAGCAACGCCGCGUGGAGGAUGAAGGGUCUAUGACUUGUAAACUCCUGUAAAGAAGGAAAAAAUUCCCAUUAGAUGGGAGAUGAUGGUACUUCUGGAGUAAGCCCAGGCUAACUACGUGCCAGCAGCCGCGGUAAUACGUAGGGGGCAAGCGUUGUCCGGAUUUACUGGGUGUAAAGGGUGCUCAGGCGGAUUUGUAAGUCAGAGGUGAAAUCUUACAGCUUAACUGUGAAACUGCCUUUGAUACUGCAAGCCUAGAGUAUGGAAGAGAGUGAUGGAAUAUCUGGUGUAGCAGUGAAAUGCGUAGAUAUCAGAUAGAACACCAAUGGCGAAGGCAGUCACUUGGUCCAUUACUGACGCUAAAGCACGAAAGCGUGGGUAGCAAACA
rnacentral:rRNA from 1 species